AACGAACGCUGGCGGCAUGCCUAACACAUGCAAGUCGAACGAUCCCUUCGGGGAUAGUGGCGCACGUGUGCGUAACGCGUGGGAACCUGCCCUUAGGUUCGGACUAACUCAGAGAAAUUUGAGCUAAUACCGGAUAAUGUCUUCGGACCAAAGAUUUAUCGCCUUUGGAUGGGCCCGCGUUGGAUUAGCUAGUUGGUGGGGUAAAGGCCUACCAAGGCGACGAUCCAUAGCUGGUCUGAGAGGAUGAUCAGCCACACUGGGACUGAGACACGGCCCAGACUCCUACGGGAGGCAGCAGUGGGGAAUAUUGGACAAUGGGCGAAAGCCUGAUCCAGCAAUGCCGCGUGAGUGAUGAAGGCCUUAGGGUUGUAAAGCUCUUUUACCCGGGAUGAUAAUGACAGUACCGUGUGAAUAAGCCCCGGCUAACUCCGUG
rnacentral:rRNA from 1 species